rnacentral:rRNA from 1 species
GAGUUUGAUCAUGGCUCAGAGCGAACGCUAGCGGCGGGCCUAACACAUGCAAGUCGAGCGGGGAGCUUCGGUUCCCAGCGGCGAACGGGUGAGUAACACGUAGGUAAUGUACCUUCUGGUGGGGAACAACCGCGGGAAACCGCGGCUAAUACCGCAUAUGUCCCUGUCUUUCAAGAGGCGGGAUGAAAGCCUUCGGGCGCCAGUUGAGCAGCCUGCGGCCCAUUAUUUAUUCCUAGUUGGUAGGGUAACGGCCUACCAAGGGUACGAUGGGUAGCUGGUCUGAGAGGAUGAUCAGCCACACUGGAACUGAGACACGGUCCAGACUCCUACGGGAGGCAGCAGUGGGGAAUAUUGCGCAAUGGGCGAAAGCCUGACGCAGCCACGCCGCGUGAGUGAUGAAGGCCUUCGGGUCGUAAAGCUCUGUCGGAGGGAAGAAGGGAGCGAAUCCCUGACGGCACCUCGCCAAGAAAGCACCGGCUAACUCUGUGCCAGCCGCCG